rnacentral:rRNA from 1 species
ACGGAAGGCAGCAGUGGGGGAUAUUGGACAAUGGGGGAAACCCUGAUCCAGCGACGCCGCGUGAGUGAAGAAGUAUUUCGGUAUGUAAAGCUCUAUCAGCAGGGAAGAAAAGGCGCAAGCAUUGACUGUACCUGACUAAGAAGCCCCGGCUAACUACGUGCCAGCAGCCGCGGUAAUACGUAGGGGGCAAGCGUUAUCCGGAUUUACUGGGUGUAAAGGGUGCGUAGGUGGUAUGGCAAGUCAGAAGUGAAAACCCGGGGCUCAACCCCGUGGAUUGCUAUUGAAACUGUCAAACUAGAGUACCGGAGAGGUAAGCGGAAUUCCUAGUGUAGCGGUGAAAUGCGUAGAUAUUAGGAGGAACACCAGUGGCGAAGGCGGCUUACUGGACGGUAACUGACACUGAGGCACGAAAGCGUGGGGAGCAAACAGGAUUAGAUACCCUGGUA